rnacentral:lncRNA from 1 species
AAGGAAACAAGAGGGCGUGAAUCCAGGCCAUCCUCAGGGGAGGGUGGGAGCCCAUCCCAGGCAGAGAGGCCUAAGCCUCAGUGUGGGCCAAGGCUCAAAGGUGCUGGCACAGGCUUCCCAGGGAGAACAGAAACUCAGCAGUGAAAGCCGCAGAGGGGAAGAAGCAGGCUGAUGUCAACAGCGUGGGGCUCUGUCCCUCACCCCAAGGAGAGGGAGUGUGCCAGAUCCCAGGCCACCAAGCGGGGCCAGCUCCAGCCUGGGCGAUCGUCCCAGCAGCUGAGAGGGAAGCUUUAAGCAGACCAGUGGGUAGGAGAGGAGGGAGCAUGCGGCAGGUGGGGCAGCCACACAAAGGAGAGUUCCCAGAAGGCCAAGGUGUGGUCACCCUCCACGCCUCCCGACUUCCUCCUGGAGUGGCUGGGCAGCAUGCAGGGCAGCGUCCAGUAGGCGGCAGUGGCAGGAAGGGAGCGGGCGGCCCUCGCAGGUCCCUCAGUUGGCAGGGCUGCAUUGCAGAAUCUGCUGUGGGGCAAAGAGCUUCCUGGCAGCCACGGCUUCCCCUGGCUUUCCUGGCACUGGGCAGUUCUCUUUGUUGUCCGGCCCGGCAGGCUGGCCUGAGGCCUUCUUGAAGUAGCAGAGCCGACACACGGAGUGGUACUUGUCUGCUCCCCCAAUCACCUCGACCUGGCCGCAGGGACAGGGGAUGGGUGAAGGGCCAGGACAGGAAGGAGGCAGAGCCAUACCCCCACCCCGCCGGCCUGCAGGGAAGGCAGGUGGAGCUACCUCCUUCUCUGUGCCGAGCCUCUUGGUAUAGGCGGCUUCCCGGAAGCACUCCAUGCACACCGCCGUCAGCUUCACCACGCUCUCGGCCAGCGGCACCAGGUUCAGGAUGGCCCCAAAUGGCUGCGCUCCCAUGGAAAGACAGAGGGCGCUCAGCCACCUUACCAGGUGUAACACCACCCUGUGCCGUGGACAUCGCAUCUUAGGAAUGAGGAAGCAAAUUUGGAAAAGUAAAUGACCUACAUCAGACAGCAUGGUCACGAAGUGCGGUUAAAUUCCCACAUGCAACUCCAAGCCCCAAGCACCCUCCACUCCACCAGCAUCUGGCUUCAGGAGCCCCUCAGCUCCCACCGAAGGCCACACGCCGGGUGGAUCUGUUCUCUGCACAGCCAUAGCAACUCUCGGAUACAGCUCCCAGCCAGGGCUCUGAGGCUGAAGCCCUAUAAUGUGUGGCACAGCAUGGCUUUGCCACUGGGUGCCCAGGUGGACAAGUCCAGAGGACCAAGCAAAGCGUCUCAGGCUCAGAAACAUCAGGCCCACAUCUGCUGCCAAGGAAGUGAAUUUAACUCCCAAACUGAGGUUGCAGGCGGAAAUGUCCAGCGAGCUCAAACAGCUACACAUAAAACAGGGAAGCGUGAAGGCUGCCAGGUGACGGGGGAGCCAGCCAACAACGGACAACUAAAAAAUUAAACAAAAAUCAACGUGCAGGCCAAACCAAACCAGUCUGCAGCCUGUGUGAAGCUGAAACCCUACGGCAGAGUUUCUGAACACUGGCAGGCUCCUGACAUUUGGGGCCAGCUCGUUCUUGCAUGGGGGCCGUCCUCUGCACCAUAGGACCCUUAGCAGCAGUGUCCCUGAUUUCUACACAUUAAAGCCCAAAAGCAUCCCCUCCCCCCUCCAGUUGCAACAACUAGAAAUGUCUUCAAACAUUGUCAAAUGGACCCUGGCGGCAAAAUCACCCUCAGUGGAGAACCACUGGCUCCAGCCCAGGGAGUGGAGAGUGUGCGCUACCUUGCCAAGCACCUUGGAAAGUGUGCUGAUUUGAAUCAUUCAAUGUUCA